rnacentral:lncRNA from 1 species
AAGAUACUGGGUAGCUUUUCCAGCUGCUCAGAAAAAUGGUGUUCCUUGUGUUUUGCCUAGACACAGGCAAGAAGAAAAGAGAAGAAAACUGUCUGAUGUACAGAUUGAUGCAGCAAUAUGAGAAACAUCAUGCCUGCUAUGUCACACAGGUUGGUACUUUUAAAAUUAGCAAUAACACAUGAAUAACACAGGUUAUUGAUGAGGUACAAAUUCCUCAUCAAUUUUGUAUGUGAUCCAUCAAACUGACGUAUGGAUAUAACCUAUGGCUCACUGUCUCCCUCAAGUGGAUGAUACAAGAAAAGGGAUUUGUUUCUUUUAGAGAGAUUUUUUGUUUUUAUUCCAUCCUGCUUUGACUCAUUCUUCUGUUUGAAGGGACAUGGCUUGAUACAUGCAGUCAGCUUCACCAAGAAUAUGAGUAUACAAGGUCAUUAUUAAAAGAUGUGAAAAGGCAACAUUUGGGAGGAUAAUUCUUUCUUUGCCCAUGAGAUGUACCAAAAAUCUUUGUCAUAGCAGGAGACAGAUUUCCUGAAAGGCCACACAAUAUUGUUCACAACUGCAAGAGGGUAAAAAAAAAAAAUUAAAACAAUGGCUGGCAGAUAGAACUCAGUUGUCUGCAAUCUGAAAUCCCAAAGGUUUUCUUCACUGUUUUCUGUGGCAGGGCACAAGCUGUGAACCACACAUCUUGAACAAAUGUCAGUACUCAGAUUUGGGUCAUUAAAUUGGACAGAAUCUGUUUAGGGUUGCUAAGCCACAGCAUCCAGAAUCCCUAAAAUAUAGUUGUUUCUGUUGGUUGGGGGUCUUUGUAGAUCUGACAUUUUAAAAAAUAUUUGAUGGAAACUCUUUUGAAAGAUCUUAAAUUCUGUCAGUGUGUGUGUUAUCAUAGCUGACCUAAUGGAAGGACAAAGCAGGAAAGAAAAAAGUAUUAAAUAUUCAGAUUUACUGGGUACUAGUGAUAGAUUUCUGUGGGGGAAGGAUGAAUCUGUCAUCCUUUGGUAAUUUAAUUUUGCAAGGCUUAAAGGAAUUAGGCUACAAGUUUACAUUACUCCUAACUCUGAGGUGUAAAUGCAUCUAAUGGGAAUAUAAUAAACACAGAUAAUUUCAUUUAAAAGGUUAAAAA